rnacentral:rRNA from 1 species
UAACCUGCCCAAGAGAUCGGGAUAACACCUGGAAACAGAUGCUAAUACCGGAUAACAACAGAUGAUGCCUAUCAACUGUUUAAAAGAUGGUUCUGCUAUCACUCUUGGAUGGACCUGCGGUGCAUUAGCUAGUUGGUAGGGUAACGGCCUACCAAGGCGAUGAUGCAUAGCCGAGUUCGAGAGACUGAUCGGCCACAUUGGGACUGAGACACGGCCCAAACUCCGUACGGGAGGCAGCAGCG